AUGACUAUCAUAUAAUAUGUUGUAAUUCCUUUGAGUGUUUCAAAUCAAAUAAAUUUUUAUUUUCAGUUGUUCAUUGUUCAAACUUAUUUGAAACCUACAGUAUAUGUAGUUGCUAUGAUUCAAAUUAAUAUCCAAAAGUGUGCCUUUUACUUCAGUCCUUAAUUAUAGACUCCACCCUAAUACAGACACUUUAUUGUGCCACUCCAAUGUUCAUUCAAAGUGAUCCGACUGACAUCUGAGCUGGUGAUAAUAUACAGCAAAGUAUUGGAACUAGGAGUAUAUCACAUAAGUUGUUCAUUCAGUCAAGACAUCCAGGUUGUGCUGAUCAUCAUAUCAAACUCCAUCACAUAUUGUGCCUUAAAAACAUAUAUACAAAUUUUAAAAGUUGUUGCAGCACACUGGGCAAUUCCAUUUAAUAUAGCCCCCCACACCCUAUUGAGGGGUCUCUUCAUAAUACUAUUACCUUAAACAUUUUGGAACCCCAUUGGAUGCAAUUUUGGAACCCCCAUGGAUAUCUUUCUACCCCUUUAGGAUAUUGUUCCUGCCUCUUUGGAUAUCACUAAAACACCUAAUUUUUUUGAAAUCUCUUAAGCUACCCUCCAGAAAAAUUUAAGGUAAAAUCCCCCUCACUAAAAUCCCCAUAUAGGAUAUCCAGACCUCAAUAGUGGGGCUAUUUAUCGAUGGAAUGGCCCAUUUGACUUGGUGAGUGGUGACUACCACCAAAGCAAAAUGAAAGCA